AUCAGCAGGGGUUGCUGUUGGAUCACUGGAGGAGCAGAGCCUGCAGUUGCUCCGUGUUGGCCAGCAGGGGGCGCUGUUGGGCCCUGGCGGUCGCCACAUGGGGGACCCGGCCCAUGGUAGAAGCCAAAAAUGGAGAUCUUCCCCCCCACCAAGAGGGGGAAGGGGAAAAGGGAGGAAAAAAGGGGGCUCUUUCCCACUAAAUGCAUGCUGUCUGCAGCUGGCUGUGGCCAGGAUUUCCCCUCUUGUCAACAGACACACGCCACUGCUAACACAGGAGGGGAGGAAAGAAAGGGCUACCUCCUCCCCGAAAGGUUCUUCUGCAGUGAUAACUGUACUAUUGGCUACAGACUCUGAAAGCAGAUGUGUCCUCAACAUAACAAGGAAUAUGAAAAUGGAGGGAAAGAAGAUACUGUAAGCAUAGCAAAAGUCUGACAAAAUGACAGCAGCCUUGCCUCUUGCAAAAGAACACGGAUUAAUUUUUCCUCCAUAGUUCAAAAAGAACAGAGGCAGAUGGAGUCCAAGAUCAUUUUCCCUUUAGACCUAGAGUGCCAGAUGUGUAAAAUUGGAUAAACAAUAAAUUUAUUCCUACUAAUAA